rnacentral:rRNA from 1 species
AGUGAACGCUGGCGGCAGGCCUAAUACAUGCAAGUCGAACGGAAGCACAGUAAGAGUUUGCCUUUAAGGGUGGCGAGUGGCGGAUGGGUGAGGCAUAGAUAGGAUUCUUCUUAUUCGUGGGGGACAACGUAGGGCAACUUAUGAUAACACCGAAUAUGACGUACGGGUGAAUGCAGGGGAUAUUGGGACCUUGCGUGUUUGUAUGAGCUGAUGUCGGAUUAGCUAGUUGGGGGGGUAAAGGCCCACCAAGGCGACGAUCCGUAGCUGAUCUGAGAGGAUGAUCGGCCACACUGGAACUGAGACACGGUCCAGACUCCUACGGGAGGCAGCAGUAGGGAAUAUUGGGCAAUGGGCGCAAGCCUGAUCCAGCCAUACCGCGUGAGUGAUGAAGGCCUUCGGAUUGUAAAACCCUGUUAUUAGGAAAGAAAAACUGCGUAAUUAAACACCGCUGUUCUGACGGUACCCAAAGAGUAAGCACCGGCUAACUUCGUG